AAUGGGAUAACUGGGACAAAUAGUGGUUCUAUUCUUAAUUUUUUGAGGAACCUCCAUACUGCUUUCCAAAGUGGUUGUACCAAUUUACAGUCCCACCAGCAAU
rnacentral:pre_miRNA from 1 species